UUCCAGCUCCAAUAGCGUAUAUUAAAGUUGUUGCGGUUAAAAAGCUCGUAGUCGAAUCUGUGUCCCGCGCCGCCGGUUCAUCGUCCGCGGUGUUAACUGGCGUGCCGCGGGACGUCCUGCCGGUGGGCUUAGCUCGCAAGGGCGGCCCAACUCAAUCCCGCCGCGGUGCUCUUCACUGAGUGUCGAGGUGGGCCGGCACGUUUACUUUGAACAAAUUAGAGUGCUUAAAGCAGGCUAAAACUUCGCCUGAAUACUGUGUGCAUGGAAUAAUGGAAUAGGACCUCGGUUCUAUUUUGUUGGUUUUCGGAACCCCGAGGUAAUGAUUAAUAGGAACGGAUGG
rnacentral:rRNA from 17 species